rnacentral:ncRNA from 1 species
UAACUCCCGACUGAGCAGCUGUUAGCCACAGGCUCAGUAUCUAGGCUUGCACCGAGGUAUAAGACACUGUGCCGAAGUCGUCGGUUGAUGUGUAGUCAAGAAAGUUAGCGAGGAUGAAAGGUAGGGACUGGCCGUCCCGCCCUGAACGAGAUUGAGCUCCGAAAUUUGGUGACUGUUGGCUCCUGCCCAAGGUUUGUUCAUACUGGAAGGCAAUACUGACUAUCGCGUUUUGGCAAGCGAUAUUCAGAGACCCGGGGUCGAAGGCCC